UACGUAGGGUGCGAGCGUUAAUCGGAAUUACUGGGCGUAAAGCGUGCGCAGGCGGUUUUGCAAGCCGGAUGUGAAAUCCCCGGGCUCAACCUGGGAAUGGCAUUCGGGACUGCAAGGCUGGAGUGCGGCAGAGGAGACUGGAAUUCCGGGUGUAGCGGUGGAAUGCGUAGAGAUCCGGAAGAACACCGGUGGCGAAGGCGGUCUGCUGGGCCAAGACUGACGCUGAGGCGCGACAGCGUGGGGAGCAAACAGG
rnacentral:rRNA from 1 species